AAGGAAGAGGAAUUUAUUUUUCUUUUCCUCUAUUAGGACAAGUGAGGAUCCUUCCUUUGUCUCCAUUAGAGAUAAGAAAGAGAAGGACAAGGUGACAAUGGAACAAGUCGACGAACACCGUGGGAGUUGAACAUCAACAAAUUUUGUUGAGGUGGGGGAGGGUUGACUAGCUGAAUUUCGAGUUGUAGCUCUAGUGUGGACUAGUAGAAGGGAGUCCAGACGUAUAUCUUUUGGGUGAGCUGCCAAAGUAUUUGUAUAGUUAGUCUUAGUUUGUAAAUGAUCUUUUUGUUGCGUUGUAGACUAAGAAGGCGUAGGCCACAAUGGGUUAGUGUCUCUACUUACCUGAGAAAUGAAAACCAUGUAUAUAUAACCACUUGCCUUUUGACUUGUAUAAAUUAUGCUCAAGUACACUUUUACCAAAUGACCUGAGCAU